rnacentral:rRNA from 1 species
UUUCCGUAGGUGAACCUGCGGAAGGAUCAUUACUGAAAGACAAAGGAUUUGAGACUGCGUUCCAUAGCGGCGUGUGCUCGAUCCUUACUCUUUUAUCCACACACACCUUUGUGCACCAUUGGAGGAUGAGUUUUCAUCCUCUUUUUUUUACACACAAACACAGUUUUUAUGCAUGUAUGAUAGUGAUACUCUAUGGAGUAAAUCUAUAACUUUCAACAACGGAUCUCUUGGCUUUCGCAUCGAUGAAAAACGCAGCGAAUGUGCGAAACGUAAUGUGAAUUGCAGAAUUCAGUGAAUCAUCGAAUCUUUGAACGCAUCUUGCGCUCCUUGGUAUUCCGAGGAGCAUGCCUGUUUGAGUGUCGUGAAAUACUCAAUUUCAAACUUUUGUUUUUGAAGGUUUGAAAUUGGAUUUGGGUGUUGUUGUGGAAAUGACUCACCCUAAAUGCAUUAGUGAUCUGCCAUUGAUCAUGGGCAAUGUGAUAAGAAAAAAGCAUUGUUAAAGAUCGGGGGUAAUGAUUGCUUCUAACUGUCGAAAGACAAUGCAUAUAUGUAUGUUAUAUGCGGUUUGACCUCAAAUCAGGUAGGACUACCCGCUGAACUUAAGCA